AACUGCUGGAGGACUCAAAGCUGGAAUCACCAAGAGGGGAGCAGCCAGAGAUGUCAGCUGAGCUCUGAAAAUAGACGUGACUUAAUGAGCAAGAGACAGGUUGGGUUUCUCUAAAAAGGCAGAUUCAACCUGAGCUUGCUGUGCACCAAGUUCUAUGCUCACACUUUUCAUGCAGGCCAUUAUCAAAUCUGCACAACCACCCCCUGAGAUGCAGUUGUGUGACCAGUUCUUGCCAGUGCAAUGUGAGCAGAAGUAACAGGUGCCAGCUCGAAGCCAAGCUACCACAGUCCUGAUCUGCAGAAGAACCCCAAGACCAAGCCAGCCACAUCCCUCUGGGUCUAGAUACAACAGAUGAGGAAACUAAGGCAGGAGAGGAAGCAUUUGCCCAAAUCACAGUAAGUGGUGGGGCCAACCAGUCAUUGAGCUCCUGGUGUUCCUUGGCAGUCCUUGGUUUGUGGCCACAUCAUGCCAACCUCUGCUCUGUCUUCAACUAGUCUUCUUCACCGUAUCUCCUCUCCUCUUCUUCUAAGGACACCAAUCACUGGACUUAGGGCCCAAUCUACACUGGACUAUUAAAUACCCAAGUGGCCAAUGCAAUUGGAGAGUAGAUAAAUCAUUCAUUCCAAAAGGCAAGGAAAAAACUGAAACCCAAAGCAAUGGAGAGGAUGGAACCAGAGACAUGGCGGGGUCAAGUACUGCCUUCGUCACCUACUGACUUCUGACUCUAUGACCUCUUGAGCCUCAAUUUCAUCAAAAAAAGGGGGGGAUAAUAAUCACACCUCUCUCUCUGGUUCAUUUUGAGAUUAAGUGCCUGGCAAAGAGUGAGCACCCAAAUAAAUGUUACCUGGUAAUUUUCUCAAAAUAAAAGUUUUUGAAUACUCAUGGCUUGUUAUUGUAAUUCUGAAACAAUAUAUUUGUGUUAUAAAAUAAAGCAAAUUAACAGCUAACUUCUUGUCAUUAGGAAUCAACGUUUUCAGUUUAAAAGAGAUACAAAUAUAAACACAAAAUAAAAAACAGUGUGCCCCCAGUUUGAAUUAGAAAUAUAAGUAUGGGGGCACCUGGAUCGCUCAGUUGGUUAAGUGUCUGACUUUGGCCCAGGUCAUGAUCUCCCAGUUCAUGAGUUCAAGCCCCAUGUCGGGCUCUGUGCUGACAGCUCAGAGCCUAGAGCCUGCUUUGGAUUCUGUGUCUCCCUUUCUCUCUGCCCCUCCCCACCACACUCUGU